rnacentral:rRNA from 1 species
AUUGAACGCUGGCGGCAUGCCUUACACAUGCAAGUCGAACGUGAAAGCGGGGCAACCCGCAAGUAGAGUGGCGGACGGGUGAGUAAUACAUCGGAACGUGUCCAGUAAUGGGGGAUAACCUAGCGAAAGUUAGGCUAAUACCGCAUACGAUCUGCGGAUGAAAGCGGGGGAUGCGGCACUAAAGGCUUUUGGCGAAGGUGGCCAAAGGUGAGUCAAGAGCUUUUAGUGCUGCACCUCGCGUUAUUGGAGCGGCUGAUGUCUGAUUAGCUAGUUGGUGAGGUAAAGGCUUACCAAGGCGACGAUCAGUAGCUGGUCUGAGAGGACGGCCAGCCACACUGGGACUGAGACACGGCCCAGACUCCUACGGGAGCAGCAGUGGGGAAUUUUGGACAAUGGGGCAACCCUGAUCCAGCCAUGCCGCGUGAGUGAAGAAGG